GUGGGCGUAGCUCAGCUGGUUAGAGCGCUGGUUUGUGGUACCGGAGGUCGAGGGUUCGAACCCCUUCGCCCACCCCA
rnacentral:tRNA from 1 species